AUAUAAGCAAAAUUGACUUUUUAGGUUCAUUCAUUUAAUGAUGUAUGUGGUUUAUAAUAUAGACCACAUACAUCAUUAAAUGAAUGAACUUAAAAAAUUAUUUUUGCUUAUAU
rfam:Medicago truncatula strain A17 unplaced genomic scaffold scaffold0121, whole genome shotgun sequence.